UCUGUGUGUGCCAUAGCUUUGCCCUGGAAGCCAAAAAACAUAAUCCUCCCUGCACUAGCAAAACAGGAAUCACAGCUUUGUAUUGCUGGUAUUUGUGUACAGUUACUGCAGCUGGAUUAUCUUCAGCCAUGUCUAACUCAGAGGUCUCAGAAAAAUUAACAUGUUCAUGUUCUGGUUGACAGUUAAUCCCACACUUAAAUAGAAAGGCAAGUUCAUGUCCUUAACUCCAUAUUACAUGUAAACAGACCUUCAUCCAUGUGCAUGAGCUUUUGCUCCUCCAGCUGAAUUUUUGAUUUAAAAAUGGAAGAAAGUACCCUCUGGUUUGAGAAACACAUUGUACUGCUUAAAACUGAUGAGAAUAUUUAUGACCAUCGAAGGAAGGCUGAGUUCCUGGAGACGGGAUAACGCACGGCUUUCUGCUGCCAGACACAGAGUUCCUUCCCGUGGUCACACCAAUGUUUGUUCAUACUCCCACGGACACCACAACUUUUUUGGAUAAGGAAGAAGAUGAUGGAACACAGAUGAGGGAAAGAAAUGGCCUCAGAGAACUUGGAUACGUGGGGGUAUUUUUACCCUUUGGGGUUUUUUCUUCCUGAAUUUCAAUGAGUGACUUAUUGGAAACUUCUUUGGGUUUGAAGUGUUUUUUUUCUUGUUCCACACACACGAAACUGUUUGGGGUUGUUUUGUUUGUCUUUGUUUAUAAUGCAGCUGAGAUAGGGUGACUUGAUAUUUUUAAAAUAGAAAACUGAUGCCUUCUGAGGGAAUAGGCGGAAGAGAGGAGGACUUUACUAGCUGGAAAAGUCCUGUGGGUCACACCAAGGACAACUUGCUACUGUGAAGGUUGUGCUGGAUAUGGCAGGGAGGAUUUGGUGAGUGCUGCUUCUCCUUGGGUGCCAAAUCCACUGCUGGUUCUCCAAAUGCCAGAUCACAAGGAUCCCUGCACCACAGCCACAUAUCUCUUUUGAUCUAUUAACUGGUUUUUUUCCCCUCUUUCUUUUAAAGCAAAUUCUAGAUUACACUUUUCCAACCCAUGGCAUUAGAAAAUAUCAGGCACUGAACGCCAAGCAGGUGCCUUCAGUUUCACUCACUGAGAUCCUGCUAUCCUCUAUCAUUCAAUGAAAAUAAACCUAAACCAAAAAAAUGUCUUGUCUUAUUAGUGAGGUAAAUUAAUGGGAUUACAAAUCCAGUUUUUUAAUUGCUAAGAUGCAGAACCCUCACAGAAAACACUCAGCAUCUUGUCCUUUCUCAUUCUGAUCAUUGCCAAAGCCUACAAAGCACUGGGAGUUUGGGAGCAUCUUCUGGAGCCUGUUAUGUGCUGGAGGCUGCCCAGCACACCCUGGAAGGACAGCAGGUUUCCAGAGAAAGGAAUUGUCAGCAAGCUGUCCAAUAUGUUGUGGAACAGGAAUGUAUGGCAAUGCCAGAGGGAUUCCAGGGAUUACCAAUCAAAUGAACAGUGUGAGUCUCCACAAGAGCCCCUCCACUUGAUGCCUGUUGGGAAAAGCACUGUGCUGUUUUCCAUGUUGUGCAAUUAAAUUAGUAGAGAGUAUAAGGUAUUCUACUUUUUCAAAACCAUCACCCUGGGGAUAACUUAAUAGUUUGAAAGGAAUAUUUCCCUGUCAUUUCUAUGUCUAUGUUAAAAGUAUUAUGCAUAUGCUAAUAUUGGCAAGUGAUCACUGUAGGGUAAGUCUCUGUGAUGGUAAUCCUCUUUCCCUUCUCUGCUGUCAUUGCCAUUUCGAAGCCUCCAGAGUUUGCUGUGGGAAUUAUUCCAACAGGAGACAGGGACUAGAAAUUAAUGAAAUAAAUGCUUUUGUUCUGAGA